rnacentral:lncRNA from 1 species
GUGUUUUAUUUUUUUUUCGUUAGCAAUUACUGUCUGGGAUCAAACAGCACUUCACCCACUGGGCUGUGCUCUGCUGGAUAUUACUGCACCGGCGGCUCUGCAUCUCCUGUUCAGCAUCAGGCUGAGGAAGGUCACUACUCUCUAGAGGGAGCUGUCAAGGCUGAACCCUGCCCUUUAGGCACUUUUCAACCUGGAAGAGGCCAAAGCUCAUGUAUUGAGUGCCAGCCGGGUCGACUGUGCAACACGACGGGUCUGUCCCAGCAGCCUCUCUGCCCAUCAGGACAUUACUGCCCAGCUGGAUCUUUAAUCGCACACCCGUGUCCUCCUGGUACCUACACGUCUAAUGCAGGAGCAGAGAAGGUGCAGCACUGUGGUCCAUGUGAUGCUGGGCAGUACUGUCACUCUCCUGGUCUCUCGGCUCCUGAGGGACUCUGUGAGUCUGGAUUCUACUGCAGCGGAGGAGCCAUCACUGCCACGCCAGUGAACUUCAGGUCUGGAGAUGUGUGUCCUGCAGGAUAUUACUGCCCUGAGGGCACCAGGCACCCCCGUCAGUACCCCUGUC